rnacentral:snRNA from 1 species
UUUCCUUGGUGCUAAAUUUUCAGAA